CGUGAUACAGUUCGUGUCCAGGAGCUAACAUUUCUGUGGCUAUCUCCCCUCCCUCAUUUCUUCCUAGCUGAAAAGGACAAUCACUGGCCCAGCCUCCUGCAGGGGUAGCUCAAUCCUGACCAGGGUGUGAACAUCCUGCCUGGUGCUCCUGGAGCCAUAAGAGGCCAUGAAGAUAUUAAUUUAUACACCCAGGAUGGCAGGAAACAUGGGGGAAGCCAGGACUCUUACAGGUAUCUUCAAGUGCUAAGCCAGUCUCAGCAACUCCCUGUCAGCAAUCUUCUUGUUUUGAAAUCCACCCCAAACCAAGACAAAACAAACAAAACCCAAACUGCAAAACCAUCUAAUAGUAAGUCCUAUACCAAGGUAGCCCGUGGCUCCACCUUGGCUGCGAUUCAGAUCACCUGCCAAGCUUCCGAAAAUCCCAAAGCCCAGGCUGCACCUCCGACCAAUUAAGUCAGAAGCCCUGGCAUGGAAACCUCAAGUGACUGGAACGUGCGCACAAGGUAGAGAACUGCCGCUACAGCUCACUCUGCCUUGGAAACGCGCGGACCGCGAUCCUCAUUCCUCCAGGAGACCCGCCACCAACCUCGUCCUACGCGCAGACCACCGGCAGUUUUCCCGGAGGCGGUUUUGUGUUUCACAAGAUCAAAUGAAGCAUAAAGAUAGGGUCAAGAUGGAGACAUACAAGCAUUGACCGCUCCAGCGGGAGAGACUGAGGGCCACUGAAGCAAGAUACUGACACAGGAUGAUAUGACACCUGGCUGCAGAAGAACCAGACCUAUCCGGAUCCAACCACCUCAAACCAGAAGAGACCUCUCCCGCUUACUCUGACUUUACAUUGACUUUUCCCUCAUUAUAAUUUCAUUUUAAUGCUAAAAAUCACACCCAGGGGUGGAGAUUUAACAUACUAAUGAGACAGGUGAUGCAUGAAGAAGCAUAUACCAGAACUACCAGGGCAAAAGAAAAUCUCCACCUCUAUAUGCAUACAUGUCACCCUUUUCCCACCUAACGCCUAUUUAUUUAUUUAGAGACAGAGUCUCACUCUGUUCCCUGGGCUAGAGUGCCAUGUCGUCAGCCUAGCUCAC